rnacentral:lncRNA from 1 species
AUUUAGGGUUAGGAUUUGGUUAGGGUUUGAUUUAGGGUUAGGAUUUGGUUAGGAUUUGAUUUAGAAUUAGGAUUUGAUUUAGGAUUUAUAAUUUAGGAUUUGGUUAGGAUUUGAUUUAAGAUUUAGGAUUUGGUUUAGGAUUUAAGAUUUGAUUAGGAUUUGAUCAAGAUUUGAUUUAGGAUUUAGGGUUUUAUUUGAGUUUAUUUAGGAUUUAAGAUUUAGUUAGUUUUUUGCCUAAAGUUUGAAUGAAGUCCAAUAAGAUUUCAACUAGGAUUAAAUUAAGAUUGAAUUGAGAUGUAUUUAAGAUAUGUUUGUAAUCAUUCUAAUAUUUCUGUAAGAUUUCUUAUUGUUUCUUUGGAAUUCUUUUGAGGUUUUUCUGAAUUUGAUUAAAGCUUGUUUAGCAUUGUUAGUGUUCUAUUAGAAUUAAGAUUUUGUUGUU